rnacentral:rRNA from 1 species
CUCGUAGGCGGCCAACUAAGUCAGACGUGAAAUCCCUCGGCUUAACCGGGGAACUGCGUUUGAUACUGGAUGGCUUGAGUUCGGGAGAGGGAUGCGGAAUUCCAGGUGUAGCGGUGAAAUGCGUAGAUAUCUGGAGGAACACCGGUGGCGAAGGCGGCAUCCUGGACCGAUACUGACGCUGAGGAGCGAAAGCCAGGGGAGCAAACG